GGAGGCAGCAGUAGGGAAUCUUAGACAAUGGGGGCAACCCUGAUCUAGCCAUGCCGCGUGUGUGAUGAAGGCCCUAGGGUCGUAAAGCACUUUCGCCAGAGAUGAUAAUGACAGUAUCUGGUAAAGAAACCCCGGCUAACUCCGUGCCAGCAGCCGCGGUAAUACGGAGGGGGUUAGCGUUGUUCGGAAUUACUGGGCGUAAAGCGCACGUAGGCGGAUUAGUAAGUUAGAGGUGAAAUCCCAGGGCUCAACCCUGGAACUGCCUUUAAUACUGCUAGUCUUGAGUUCGAGAGAGGUAAGUGGAAUUCCGAGUGUAGAGGUGAAAUUCGUAGAUAUUCGGAGGAACACCAGUGGCGAAGGCGGCUUACUGGCUCGAUACUGACGCUGAGGUGCGAAAGUGUGGGGAGCAAACAGGAUUAGAUACCCUGGUAGUCCACACCGUAAACGAUGAAUGCCAGACGUCAGCAAGUAUACUUGUUGGUGUCACACUAACGGAUUAAGCAUUCCGCCUGGGGAAUACGGUCGCAAGAUUA
rnacentral:rRNA from 1 species